rnacentral:rRNA from 1 species
GACGAACCGUCCAAACGUUAUUCGGAAUCACUGGGCUUAAAGGGUGCGUAGGCGGCCCGAAAAGUUGGGUGUGAAAGCCCUCGGCUCAACCGAGGAAUUGCGCCCAAAACUGUCGGGCUCGAGGGAGACAGAGGUGAGCGGAACUUAGGGUGGAGCGGUGAAAUGCGUUGAUAUCCUAAGGAACACCAGGAGCGAAAGCGGCUCACUGGGUCUCUUCUGACGCUGAGGCACGAAAGCUAGGGGAGCGAACGGG